rnacentral:misc_RNA from 1 species
GAUAGCUAAAAACGAUUCCCUUCAACAUUCGUAGCAGUAUUUUUAAUUUCCUAUGCUAUGAGUUUCUUGUACGGGUAAUUGACGGAUUUUAACGGUCCGAACGAUCGAGCGCCCCUUACCCCUCGGUCAAUAACAUCGAAGCAUGGCAUUCAUUCAGGUAUCGUUCACGCUCUUCUCGGGAAGGAUCCCCCGCACUUGGAGCGCCUUAAUGCCGUAAACGCCAUCUUGCGGGCGAAGAUGCCGUUUGACGAUUAUCUUCAUAACCAAUCAGCGUGCGGAUUUGGGGCCCUUCGUUUUGAUCCUUGUUGGAGUCUAAUACGUGUUGGGCUCGCUCGAGUCUAACAACGGUAUCGGCAGUCUCGUUCGAGUGGUUCAACCGUGAACACGUAGGAGACAGUCAGCUUCAGUGCCUCCGAUUCGCUAAACGUGGAGUAACGAACCGUUUCAAUCUCUCAGUGCUCUUCAAGCGCUCCUGCAGGCUCAAUCUUACCAUCAGGCGUAACGAUCAGUGGACAGUCCUCUGCGAAGUCUUCAGUUUUGAACGAUAUCUCCCAGCAUACGUGAAGGUAAGUAUCAUUUUAGUGAUCGAACACUUGUACAGGUUAGACGUAUCGUUAUUUCUUUAACCGUUUGAGUACCAAGCAGCGUGAUCGCGCUGUUUAGAUUUUCUAUCGAAAAGUCCCAGUACAUUUGAACGCUACCGUCGACUGACGAUAUUUUGUAUUACAUUGUUAUCUUAAUAGUUUUUAUUGAACAAAAUUUUAUAAUAAUUAUAAACUAAUAGUACGAAUAUAUAAAAAUAUAGAUGUAUUUCAUAAGAAUAACGAAUAUGACGAGCGCUUUUGUGCUGCUUGUUUCUUUUCACAAUCGAUUAAGAAGCUAUCGUGCCGUUCGGGACUUUUCGACCCUGGUUUUUCAAAAAUCCCGGGGCUCAAACGGUUGAAUUAUGUCAAUAUUAUCAUAAAUAAUUAUUUUUCUAUUUACUCUAUAUGAUUUUCGAAACAUUAAAAGAUUAUUAUUACUCGACUAUUUCAAUAUUGAUUAUGAUACAUUUUUAAUUACGGUUAAACUUGUCGCUACUGGUGUGAGAGACUGUAAAAUUGAUUCGAAACAGUAUUUUACAGAGAUUGAUGAAACCGACGAGUUAGAUAUUUAUACAAUUAAAAGUUAUUUCUAUUUCUGAAUUUUCUUUGCGAAUAUGUUAACUGUGCUUGAGCAGCGCUGGGUCAAAUUUAUCGGAAAAAUAUUUGAAAUAGUAUUUUAAGUUGUUGUUGGUCUACAGUACGAAUAAAAUAUUUUAUGUA